rnacentral:rRNA from 1 species
AACGAACGCUGGCGGCAUGCCUAACACAUGCAAGUCGAACGAAGUCUUCGGACUUAGUGGCGCACGGGUGCGUAACGCGUGGGAAUCUGCCCUUGGGUGCGGAAUAACUUCUCGAAAGGGAUGCUAAUACCGCAUAAUGUCGUAAGACCAAAGAUUUAUCGCCCAAGGAUGAGCCCGCGUAAGAUUAGCUAGUUGGUGGGGUAAAAGCCUACCAAGGCGACGAUCUUUAGCUGGUCUGAGAGGAUGAUCAGCCACACUGGGACUGAGACACGGCCCAGACUCCUACGGGAGGCAGCAGUGGGGAAUAUUGCGCAAUGGGCGAAAGCCUGACGCAGCGACGCCGCGUGGGUGAUGAAGGCCUCGGUCGUAAG